CGGGAUGUAGUAUAAUGGUAGUACGCAAGGCUGGGGGUCUUGUAGCGGGGGUUCGAUUCUCCCCAUCCCGA
rnacentral:tRNA from 1 species